rnacentral:lncRNA from 1 species
CUUGAGCCUAGAAGGUUGAGGCUACAGUGAUCUGUGAUUGCACCACUGCACUCUAGCCUGAGCGAGACCUAGUCUCAAGAAAAAAUAAAAAUAAAAAAAGGAAGUUAAGUAAUUUUACCCAAUUAAUAGAACAACAUUUGGACUUCCUCAUAGCCAAACAUGUCUCUGUCACAAAUAACAUAAUGGGACAAAAAGCCUCUGAUUAUGGGUCCAGUCCUCCGUAUCCACUUCUCAGAAAUGUGAGCAAUCCAGAUCCACUGAGACUUUUGAAAAAAGUCAUCUUACGAGCAAAGGCCACAUUGUUUUGAAUAGAAAAAUCAAGAGGCAGUAGAAAAAAUGCUUUGACUAGUAAACAUUUCUUUGAGAUUUUUAAACUUCAACCAUAUUGCUUAUUUUAAAGACUCAAAAUGUUAGCUACCCCAGAAAAAAAAAUAACGCCUGAUUGUGGCAGAUACCUAAAAAGGUCCAUUUUUACAAAAAUAUUACUCUGGCUUUGCAUUAGAUCAGGAUUUCUUAACCUUGAUACUAUUGACAUUUGGAGCUAGAUAAUUCUUUGUUGUGGGGGCCUGUUCUGUGCAUUAUAGGAUGGCAUCCCUGGUUUCCAGCGGGUAGAUGCUUAUAAUGUCUCCUUAAUUAUGAUUAUCAAAAAUGCCUCUAGCCAGUUGUCCACUGGAGGGGAAAAAUAGCCCCUAGUUGAGAACCACAGUAAGUCAGAGUCUUUUUUUUCUUUUGUAGAGUUCAGUGAUGACGAAGUUUGACUUACCUGGUUUAACAAAAAGGUUGUGUUUAUUCCAUAGAUGGUAUACCCAAGGAAUAUUAAAGAAAUAAUUGAGUCCAUGUUUAGUCUAAAGUUUUAGAGGGAAUAGCUGCAUUUU